GGCUGCUCCCGAGGCAUAUGGAGGUUCCCAGGCUAGGGGUCGAACGGGAGCCAUAGCUGCCAGCCUAUGCCAGAGCCACAGUGAUGCGGGAUCCAAGCCACAUCUGCAGCCUCCACCACAGCUCACAGCAACGCCGGAUCCUUAACCCACUGAGCAAGGCCAGGGAUCGAACCCGCGACCUCAUGGUUCCCAGUCGGAUUCUCCCUAGGGCCCAGCAAUCUGCGAGCAUUAUGGGGAUGGGGCCAGGUGGAGGCAGAGAGGUCGCUGUCCCCUCCGCCUGCCUGCAAGGGUCUGAGUUGCCCAGGAGCCCCAGCGCCCUCCAUGCGUCUGAGGUAAGCAGGCAGCAUCCUGGAAGGCUCUGAGCCCCUUGGCACCUGCACAGACCGGAAUUCUGGCUCCGAGCUCUACUCAGGAUGAACAUCAGUCAGGGCAGGGCGGGCUGGCUCUGCCAAGGCAGCCCACAGCUCAUGAUUUCAGAGGCUUCAAACAAUAAGUUCAUUUCUCACAUACGCUCCAGAAACAACAUGAACCUGGCGUAAGGUGCCAGGGUGCGGAGCUUCCAUGGAGAUGUGGUACCGGUCCUGCCCACAUUGGGCUAAGGAUAUCACAGGCCACCCCUGACAUGACAGGGAGGCCACGCCAGCCCGCCUUGUGCCACAAGGCGGAGGGCCGGAAAUAUUUGGUGGAAAGCAAAAUGACCGCGACGCCAGCCAAGUGACCUCUGAGCCCAUUUCCUCUUCUGCAAAAUGAGGGCAAACAGUAUUUGAUCCCCAAUUGUUGUGAGGAUUCAAAGAGGAAACCCUUGACACAGGGGAGCACCGGGGUGAGUAAAAUAAAACUCAGAUGCCUCCCAGGCGGCCCCCAUCCGUGAUCUGACCCUCCCGCCUCCAAGGGCCCCUCCAUGGAGAGGCCAGCGGUGCCUGGACGCUGUCCCCUCCCAGAUCGGCACUGACCCCUCGGGCAGGCAGACUUCACCCCGUGUCCUCACUUCCUGUCCCUCAAAGGAUGUCUUGUGACAGAUUCGCCCUCUGUGCUGUCAGAGGGCAGGGGCGCACAGACGGGAUGGAGCGUCUGGGGGAAACGAAGGAAAUACAUCUCCAUCCUGUGAGAGGAGCCUUGAGCUGGUGGCCCAACCCAGGUCACCCCAUUUUGACCUCAUAAUAGCCCUGUGAUGAGCGGGUGUGGCAGUCCUCAUUUUGAGGGGAACGUCGCCAGGGGCAGUUACAUAACUUGCCCCAGGUCCCACAGCGCCAAGUAGCAGAGCUGGAACGAGCCCAGAUCUCUGACCCGGAGACGCCACCCUCCAGCUCCGUCUUCUGUGACUCGGGUUCAUGCAAACCGUAAACUCACAUGUGGCCCCGUCUCGUGUUCAGCCUUGAGGUCCUACCAUGCUGUGGUGGGAACUGCCCCCUCGGGGACGCCUAGGGCCAGCUCAGCAGUCACUGUGAGACUCUGGACACGUCUUGUCUCCUCUCUGGGCCUCAUUUCUGCACCUGAAAAUGACGCGGUUGAACCAGAGACUCUUGGGCUCCAGGUUUCUGGGAUGUGGCGACUUGCCUGCACCCACAUCCUCGGUGGCCCUAAGCCUGCAUUCUGAGAAAGCGCUGCAGAGCAGGAAGAUGGACAGCGAUCCCGUGCUUGAGGAUAUGUGGUGUAUCAAACCCUUGCUAACAUUAGAAACCAAAAAUAGUUGCUUUUUCUCUAUUUUUUCCUAAAGCCUUGGGGGGGAGUUGUAAUCCGCAGGGCUCUCUCUUCUCUGCUAUUUAUAACAAAUUCUGGUUUCCUCUAAGUCUGUCUCCUGCAGCAGAGGAAGUCAGGCUGAGCCCUCGCUGGGCUGAGGCCCCUGUGUCUGCACCCCGAUAGCCCCUGUCUGGGGUUCUGAGCCCAGGUGCCAGGCAGGGCUGGGGCUGGAAGCCAGGAACCCUGAACUCCCCAUCCCUAGAAGUUGAAGUCAGCGCUCAGAGUUCCCCCCAAUGCCAGUGCCUGGUGCUAAUUCUAAAGGGGAACCACAGGACGGAUUCAAGUUCAGAAACCACCUCUGCAUCAUUUCUAGGGCCUAAGGACAGCUCUUGGGUGUGCGGAUUUGUUACUAUAGGGUUGCUGUGAGAACGAGGGAUCCGGGCUCUUGGAUGGCUGCCCCCAGUUGCUGCUGGAGUAUUUUCAACACAGCAGCGUGGGAGUUUCCCAACUCAGAGAGGGCCCCCCAACUCCUCAGGCUCCCAUCUGCCCAGACGCCCACCGCUCCCUGCCAACAGCUCCUGUCAGCAGAGGUGAUGGGGGCCCAAGACGCCUGGGGGAGGAGCUCGGCUCAACUCCAACUCCUGUCCCGUGCGGGGAGGAGGGCCAAACAUGGGCUAGCAUGCAUGCAUCUGUGUGUAUGUGUGUGUGUGUGUGUGUGUGUGUGUGUUGGGGGUGGAGGGACACAUGCAUACGGGCAGCUGAUGUAGAGAAGCCUUAGGAUUUGGGAAGGAGGAAAAAGGAGAAGCAAACAGGAGGCAGAGGGGGUGGAGUGGGAAUGUACAGAGGAGGAAGCUGGGCGCUGCUGAGGCUGGACACAGGCUGACAGGGCAGGCACAUCCUAGUGCCAGCCCCCCCCCCAACCCCCCCGCCACGCUGACUCUCUUAACUAAAUCUGCCCAGGCUGCAGUUUAAGCCUCUUCACUACCAACUCAGAUCCCUGUCUGAUUUCCUCGCCUCCAGCAGCAGCGCCCGAGAGGCAGCCGCCCAGAGGCCCUGACCUCUGGGAGGCUUGAGUUUCCAGCACACGUGCCUCCCAGCUCCUCCUGGUUCGACACCCCUGUGACCUGGAGGGAUGUGGAGGGGGUGGGGGCAGCGCUUCUGGCGCCAUUUCCCAGCAGUGAAUCUAUGAGUCAGAAGGGUCACCUACUCUCAGAAGUCAGAGGGGACUUCCUGGAGGCAGGAAACCAGAGUUGGGCCCUGGAGAAGCCCAGAGUCUUGUGGGCAGGAGGGCAGCUUUGCAAAAUACCGCACGAGCCUCCAAGAGGACAAAGCCUGGAGUCAAAGCCUGUGUCAGCCCAGCUCUGUCCACCAGCCCAGCUCCCGUCCCUGCACAGCUACUGGAAGGGAUCUGGGAAGCCUGGAACCGGAUGCAAAGUUCAAAUCCGGGAUCUGCCGCUUAUAUGCUGGGUGAGACUCAGUUUCCCCAUCAGCAAAAAUUAGAAAGAAUACAGCCUAGCUCACAAGGUCAUGAGCAUGAAAUGAGAACAUCCACAUCAGGCUCCUUGCUGGUUGGAGAAGCUCCUCUCAUAUUAGUCUCCGCCCAUCUCUCACUUUGGUUGGAUGGACUCAACACUCUGCUGGCCUCCUGCCCCGGGAGAGGCAACUGCUGGCCCCAGAGAGCCCGUCCUCCAGAUUCAAAUGCUAGUGAAAGGUGUGGGGUCCCCCCCAGGACCUUCCCUAUCCCCCUGCCCCUCCUCCAUCCUGGGAAACUGCUGGCAGCUGCCGCCUGUUUGCCAGAGGAUGGGGUGGAGGUGGGGAAUGGGUUUGCUCUUGAAAUUACUUUGGUUUGGGGGCUACGGAUGGAGCAGUCAUCUGUGGGGUGGGUGGGGGGAGGGAACGAGAGGAGAGUGGCACCCCAGACACUGCUCAUCCCCUAACCCACAGGCUUUUCAAAAUCUCCGAUGUGGUUUCAUCAGCUGAGGGUGAUGCAAGAGGCCUGGAGCCAGGCUCCCCUUCCUCCCUUCCCCUAGAGAGCUCCUUCCACAUCUGGAGCUGCAGCUGGGUCCUCCUCUUGGGCUCCUUCCAGGGAAGGGAGCUGGCUGAAGUGAGAAAAGGGAGGGCAGCUGGUGAGGGGCCCCGUGAAUGGCCCCAAUGUUGGAGGUGGGGGGCAGGGAGACGGGCGAGCUCAGAGGGAGGAGAGGGGGACUGGAAAGGCACCUCUGACUUUCCAGGGCAGCCUCCUCCAUCACCGGGCCCGGGGCUCCCUUAGUCUUUAAAACCCACUUGAAGGCAGAAGGCAGCAGCCCUCAGUACCCCCCUCCCACUGCCUCCCCCUCAGCCUCUACUCAGGUGCCUGGAGCUGAGUACUCCCUUUGUUUCUGUCCCCCAGGGGCAGCUCAGGCCUCCCACACUUACCCUCUGCCCCAGGGCCACUCAAGCAAAGGGGUAGGGGGAAGGGGGUCAUCUAUGGGUCAAAAAAGUCACUGGAGCCUCGUGGUCUCGCCGAAGGGAGGGGGGGACAUCGGGGCUAGGAACUUGGCCCCAGAUCAACCUGAGAUGAACUUUAAAGAGCUGCAGGGUGUGGGUGGAGGGAAUUUCAGUGAGACAGUAGCAAGAAACCCCCUCCGUAAAAGUUGGCAAUUCACUGUAAUACAUGCAGAAGGGAGGCUUUCCCGGCGGGCGCCUUCAGAACACAAAACCGCCAGUCGCUGGGAGACGCUCAGCAGAGAAGCCCUAGGCCGGGAGACCGGGUUCUUACCCACGCUUAGCCACUAACUCCUGUGUGACCUUGGUAGUUCCCCUCUCUACGUCCAGGCUUCCGCAUUUAGGAGCGGGGGUCCCACAGAGGCUGCAGGUGUGCAUCCCUGGGGGCCUAGGCUCCAGCGUGGUCAAUUCUCGGCCGGCGUCCUUCCAAGCCCCAACCCUGGCCAUCCAACCAACCCCCCCAACAAGUGC
rnacentral:lncRNA from 1 species